rnacentral:rRNA from 1 species
UCAAAUUUGAAAUCUGGCGUAAGCCCGAGUUGUAAUUUGUAGAGGAUGCUUCUGGGUAGCGGCCGGUCUAAGUUCCUUGGAACAGGACGUCAUAGAGGGUGAGAAUCCCGUAUGUGACUGGCUUGCACCCUCCACGUAGCUCCUUCGACGAGUCGAGUUGUUUGGGAAUGCAGCUCUAAAUGGGAGGUAAAUUUCUUCUAAAGCUAAAUACCGGCCAGAGACCGAUAGCGCACAAGUAGAGUGAUCGAAAGAUGAAAAGCACUUUGGAAAGAGAGUUAAAAAGCACGUGAAAUUGUUGAAAGGGAAGCGCCCGCAACCAGACUUUGCGGCGGUGUUCGGCUGGUCUUCUGACCGGUUUACUCGCCGCCGUGAGGCCAUCAUCGUCUGGGACCGCUGGAUAAGACCUGAGGAAUGUAGCUCCCUUCGGGGUGUGUUAUAGCCUCUGGUGAUGCAGCGCGUCUCGGGCGAGGUCCGCGCUUCGGCAAGGAUGAUGGCGUAAUGGUUGUCGGCGGCCCGUCUUGAAACACGGACCAAGGAGUCUAACAUCUAUGCGAGUGUUCGGGUGUCAAACCCCUACGCGUAAUGAAAGUGAACGGAGGUGGGAACUUUUUGUGCACCAUCGACCGAUCCUGAUGUCCUCGGAUGGAUUUGAGUAAGAGCAUAGCUGUUGGGACCCGAAAGAUGGUGAACUAUGCCUGAAUAGGGUGAAGCCAGAGGAAACUCUGGUGGAGGCUCGCAGCGGUUCUGACGUGCAAAUCGAUCGC